GACUGUGAUGAUAGAGAGACUAUUUUUGAAAUCCUCAAUUUUGAGUUCAAAUAUGUGAUUAAAGAUUUUGGCUUCAUUCUUCUUUUUAAGCACUCAAGUAAAUACCAUCAUCAACACCAUCUUUAUUCUCUUUUUCAUAUCAUUCAUGAUGCAAUCUUCAAAAUUCCCCUCUUAUCUUCUAGAUCAUGGUAUUCAAUAUACUUAUAGCCAUCCACUGAACCAGCCACUCUACAAUCCACACAUUCAAGCAAGUAUGAUAAUCUGCAAUGAGAUUUUGUGAGAAGAAUGUUAAAAGAUAGAUUGAGAAUGCAGUGCUGCCAUUGCUGGAAAAGGCAAUUGAUCUUUUUGAGAGUGAAGAGGGUUAAUGAUGGUACAGUGGUGAUAAUGAUAGUAUUGAUAUUGUGAAGAGGU
rnacentral:sRNA from 2 species